CCUACGGGAGGCAGCAGUGAGGAAUAUUGGUCAAUGGGCGGAAGCCUGAACCAGCCAAGUAGCGUGCGGGAUGAAGGCCCUACGGGUCGUAAACCGCUUUUGCACGGGGAUAACACCCUCCACUUGCGGAGGUCUGCAGGUACCGUGCGAAUAAGGGCCGGCUAAUUCCGUGCCAGCAGCCGCGGUAAUACGGAAGGCCCGAGCGUUAUCGGGAUUCAUUGGGCUUAAAGGGAGCGUAGGCGGGCGUUCAAGCCACCUGUAAAAUCGCGCGGCUCAACCGCGCCCCGCAGUGCAAACUGGACGACUUGAGUCCACAACAGGCAGGCGGAAUUCGUGGUGUAGCGGUGAAAUGCAUAGAUAUGACGAGGAACCCCGAUUGCGAAGGCAGCCUGCCGGGGUGCGACUGACGCUGAGGCUCGAAGGUGCGGGUAUCAAACAGGAUUAGAUACCCGUGUAGUC
rnacentral:rRNA from 1 species